UACGUAGGGUGCGAGCGUUAAUCGGAAUUACUGGGCGUAAAGCGUGCGCAGGCGGUUUUGUAAGCCAGAUGUGAAAGCCCCGGGCUUAACCUGGGAAUGGCAUUUGGGACUGCAAGGCUGGAGUGCGGCAGAGGAGACUGGAAUUCCUGGUGUAGCAGUGAAAUGCGUAGAUAUCAGGAGGAACACCAAUUGCGAAGGCAGCUCGCUGGGACGUUACUGACGCUGAGACGCGAAAGCGUGGGGAGCAAACAGG
rnacentral:rRNA from 1 species